UACGUAGGGUGCAAGCGUUGUCCGGAAUUAUUGGGCGUAAAGAGCUUGUAGGCGGUUUGUCGCGUCUGCUGUGAAAUUUCGGGGCUCAACCCCGAACUUGCAGUGGGUACGGGCAGACUAGAGUGUGGUAGGGGAGACUGGAAUCCCUGGUGUAGCGGUGAAAUGCGCAGAUAUCAGGAGGAACACCGGUGGCGAAGGCGGGUCUCUGGGCCGAUACUGACGCUGAGGAGCGAAAGCGUGGGGAGCGAACAGG
rnacentral:rRNA from 1 species